CUCGCUUCUUGGCCUUUUGGCUAAGAUCAAGUGUACUAUAUAUAGUUACCCUGUUGUGCUAUCAAAUACUAAAUACUAAAAUUCUUUUUAUUUUUAUUGUUGUACCCAUU
rnacentral:snRNA from 1 species